AAGAUGUCAUGCUAACGUGCAUAGUGGCGACGGAGUGAGUAACACGUGAGUAACCUGCCCUUGACUCUGGGAUAAGCCUGGGAAACUGGGUCUAAUACCGGAUAUGACUCCUCAUCGCAUGGUGGGGGGUGGAAAGCUUUUGCGGUUUUGGAUGGACUCGCGGCCUAUCAGCUUGUUGGUGAGGUAAUGGCUUACCAAGGCGACGACGGGUAGCCGGCCUGAGAGGGUGACCGGCCACACUGGGACUGAGACACGGCCCAGACUCCUACGGGAGGCAGCAGUGGGGAAUAUUGCACAAUGGGCGAAAGCCUGAUGCAGCGACGCCGCGUGAGGGAUGACGGCCUUCGGGUUGUAAACCUCUUUCAGUAGGGAAGAAGCGAAAGUGACGGUACCUGCAGAAGAAGCGCCGGCUAACUACGUGCCAGCAGCCGCGGUAAUACGUAGGGCGCAAGCGUUAUCCGGAAUUAUUGGGCGUAAAGAGCUCGUACGCGGUUUGUCGCGUCUGCCGUGAAAGUCCGGGGCUCAACUCCGGAUCUGCGGUGGGUACGGGCAGACUAUAGUGAUGUAGGGGAGACUGGAAUUCCUGGUGUAGCGGUGAAAUGCGCAGAUAUCAAGAGGAACACCGAUGGCGAAGGCAGGUCUCUGGGCAUUAACUGACGCUGAGGAGCGAAAGCAUGGGGAGCGAACAGGAUUAGAUACCCUGGUAGUCCAUGCCGUAAACGUUGGGCACUAGGUGUGGGGGACAUUCCACGUUUUCCGCGCCGUAGCUAACGCAUUAAGUGCCCCGCCUGGGGAGUACGGCCGCAAGGCUAAAACUCAAAGGAAUUGACGGGGGCCCGCACAAGCGGCGGAGCAUGCGGAUUAAUUCGAUGCAACGCGAAGAACCUUACCAAGGCUUGACAUGGACCGGACCGCCGCAGAAAUGUGGUUUCUCCUUUUGGGGCCGGUUCACAGGUGGUGCAUGGUUGUCGUCAGCUCGUGUCGUGAGAUGUUGGGUUAAGUCCCGCAACGAGCGCAACCCUCGUUCCAUGUUGCCAGCAACGUGAUGGUGGGGACUUAUGGGAGACUGCCGGGGUCAACUCGGAGGAAGGUGGGGACGACGUCAAAUCAUCAUGCCCCUUAUGUCUUGGGCUUCACGCAUGCUACAAUGGCCGGUACAAAGGGUUGCGAUACUGUGAGGUGGAGCUAAUCCCAAAAAGCCGGUCUCAGUUCGGAUUGGGGUCUGCAACUCGACCCCAUGAAGUCGGAGUCGCUAGUAAUCGCAGAUCAGCAGCGCGGACGAUAUU
rnacentral:rRNA from 1 species